rnacentral:ribozyme from 14 species
UUGAAAAAAAGGCAAAAAAAACCAAAAAGCAAACAUCGGAGCACCAAAACGCCAAAAUCCAAACCACUAACAGCGAAGCAUGAAAGCGCGACGUACAUAGUUUUUUUUGUCUUUUUUUUUUUUGUCUUUCUU